rnacentral:rRNA from 1 species
AUGAAGGCAGGUGAGGAAGAUGUGGGAAGCGUCCUCCCAGGGGUGCGGCACCUCGGGCGGUCGGAGGAGUCGGAGAUGUUCUUGUUGAAGAGGUUGGCCUUGGAGUUCAGCCGGUCCUUGAAGAGAAACAAAAUUGAAUGUCUUUUCUUCCAAAAAACGAAAAGUAGGCCAGAUCUACGAAAAGUUUGCUGGAAAAUCUUUUCACCAAGGAAAUUUGGACCUGAGGGUCAACGGAUAUGUUACAGGACAACCGAACUUGGUGAUUUCAUGGUUUCCAAGAGGCAAAAGUUGGCUUCUAUUUUGGCUUCUACUCUUUCCUGGUGCACGUUUUUUGUUUUCAGUUUCGGUAAAGCACAUCUAGAUGUGCUUAAGUCCUAA